AUACGGAGGGUGCGAGCGUUAAUCGGAAUUACUGGGCGUAAAGCGUACGUAGGCGGUUGGUGAAGUUAGAUGUGAAAGCCCCGGGCUUAACCUGGGAACUGCAUUUAAAACUGGCGAACUAGAGUUGAGUAGAGGGGAGUGGAAUUUCAGGUGUAGCGGUGAAAUGCGUAGAGAUCUGAAGGAACACCAGUGGCGAAGGCGACUCCCUGGACUCGAACUGACGCUGAGGUACGAAAGCGUGGGUAGCAAACGGGAUUAGAAACCCCAGUAGUCC
rnacentral:rRNA from 1 species